rfam:Felis catus isolate Cinnamon breed Abyssinian chromosome B2, whole genome shotgun sequence.
ACCUGGCUGGCUCAGUCAGUACAGCAUGUGACUCUUGAUCCUGGGGUUUUGGGUUCAAGCCCCACGUUGGGUG